CGAUAUUUUCAACCGAUAUUAUAGAUAUAUUAAAUAGAUUAGAUUAUCAAAUUCGAUAUUUUUUCAUAUUUCGCAUCAUGAUUUUGACCUCACGAAACAUAUUAUACUCUGGUUCCAUUAGUGGAAAAUGCUGAUUUAGCGGACUAUAAAAUAAAUUUUGAAAUUCUACACAUCGAAAAUAAAAUGUUAUGACUCAAUCUUGCUGAAAGCUCAAGAAAUAAAUAGACAUAAUAAAAUUGUAAUCAAAUCCAACGGCCGUAGUUAAAUAUCUUUUUUUCUGUACCUAAACGUCCUAAACCAUUUAUCAUUAUUAUGCAAUAAGAAGCAUUUUCAAUAACUAUUUUGCAAACUACUAGAAAUGUUGUUUUCAACUGAAUCUGGUCACGAUAAAUCAGGAUUUUUGGCUAAUGGAACUAAAGCAAUCAAUCUUGCUGACAGUUAUUCAGCGGCCGUUUUCAAAUAUCUUUCUGCACAUAAACGUCCUAAACCAUUUAUUGGUUAUUGCUGGAAUCAGUGUGACCAUAUUUAGUAGAAAUCUACUUUUUUAGUAGAUUUUUCGCAUUUUCAUGGAAUUUUUAAUAGGAAGAAAUCAUUUGGUAGGUUUUAGUAGUUUUAAAAAUCUAACCAAGGCAGUUGAGAAUUCGGAUGUCGACUGUUCAAUUCAUUGUUCAUUGAGGUUUUACGUUCUGCGUGAUUCUAGAAGAACGAAUCUACUUAAACAUAAUAAAAUCAUAAAACUUCUUUGGUGGCUGUCGGCUGAGAAUAAAUAAAAAGAAUGAUGGAGAACUCGAAGGGUACCUCAUUAAAAACAGAUGGUGUUUACUUCAGUUGAAAAUAUACCACUAUCUCACAUUUGGUAUUCUAUUCAGUGGAAAAAAAAAUGUAACUGGAAUUUAAUUUCAUUGAAAAAAUUUGAGUGGCUGAAUAUUUCAGAUUCAAAUAUAUUCAUUUCAAAUAGCCAAAUCGUUUUUUUGAUAACCUUUAUUCUAUACAGAAUUUUAACUUCAUUUUGAAAAUCUUCCAUAAAAUUGGGAGCAAAGCAAACUACUAAAAAUGUUGUUUUCAACUGAAUCUAGUCACGAUAAAUAAGAAUUUUCGACUAAUGAAACUAGAGCAUUAAUGUUUCGUGUGGUACAAAUCAUAAUGCGAAAUAUUGAAAAAUAUCGAAUUUGACACUAUUAAAUAAAUAUCGAAUAAUUUCUAUAUGUAGCAGUUUUGAAAUUCUACUUAUCGAAAAUAAAAAGUUAUAACACUAUCUUGCUAUUUAAAAGUUCCAGAAAUAAUUGCACACAAUAAAAUUGGAAUAUUAUUCAAAGGCUGUUUUCAAAUAUCUUUUUGUACCUAAACGUCCUAAACCAUUUAUUGGUUAUUGGAAUUCCCAAGGUUCCUUGUAACAAUCUGUACUAUUUUCAAUUUUGAAUUCUACAUAUUGAAAAUAAAACUUAUGACUUAAUCCUCCUAAUUGCUUUAGAAAUAUAUUGACACAAUAAAAUUUAAAUAUAAGAAGUGAAGAAAGGGCCGCUAUAUCUUUGAGUAAAUCAUUUAUUCCUGGAAUUUCCAAUAUCGUUUGAAACCUACCCUAUAGUUGUCUAUAUAAGUAAUAUUUUCAUUUUGAAAAUUUCAGUAGUUACGCAAAAGGUAUAGCAGAAAGCUUCGUGUUUUACUUCAUUCGACUAGUUCAUUGAGUAUAAUAUUGAGUUUCGGUUAAUCGAAAGUUGGAAGUUCGUUAUUUUGAUUGUGUUUUUUGGUGUUUUGCUUUUUUAUUAUUCAAAGUAUCAUGUCUGCGGUGUGGAAGUUUUUCAAAAGAAAUGAAAAUAGCGAAUCUGCUUCAUGUAAAAUAUGUGGAAAGUCAUACAAAACUAAGGGAAAAACCACAAAUUUAGCUACACAUCUUAGAUUGAAGCAUCAUUUUGCAUAUGUGCAAAUGAUGAACCAUCAGGUUCAUUGAAAAAUAAAUGUAGAGAUGUAUUAAAAGAUGCUACGGAUAAGUCGGUGUCAGAUUUGGACGAAAAAAGUGUUGAUGUAAGUCAUGAAUCCAUUCUAAUAUUGCAAAAAUUGAAUACUAGUUUUGAAUUUUGAAUAUCUUAUAAGUUCUUUUUUUUAAUUCUCUAAUUUCAAGGCUUCUUUGCCAAGUACAUCAACAAAUUCUUCUGAUGAUUCCCAAUUCUGCAUGCCACCUGCAAAAAAAAAGGUAGCAAUCCACUUUGAUGAGUUGUUUCGAGAGGGGUUCAAGCUUUGCAGAAGGCGGACAGAAAUAUGAGGAAAUAACUGAAGCAUUAGUAUAUAUGAUAUGCAAGGACAAUAUGCCUCUGUCUUGUGUUGAAAAAAAGCACUUACAGAAGUUAAUGCGCACUAUCAGCCCACUUUGUAAACUUCCUUCCAGAAAAAAAGGUAACUCAUUUGGUCGAAACAAGAUAUGACACCACGAAAGAGAUUAUCAUAAAAAUUUUGGAUAAUAUAUCAUUUUCAAGCUUCACAAGUGACAUUCUGACACUCAUGAAUUCAACAAGGAGUUUCUUAGUGUUGACGGUACAUUUCAUUGAUACUCUAAAGGAGUCACCGGUCCUUGGGAGUAUCAAUCUUUGUGCUGUGAAACUUUCUGAGGCUCAUUCAGGAAAUUACAUAAAAGAGUGUUGGAAAGACAUUUGUGGAGAAUUUAAUAUUGAUACAACAAAAAUUGUUUCAAUUACCACAGAUGGCGGCUCUAAUAUGGUGGCUACGGUCAGAUUGUUCGUAGGUGAAGAUCAUAGGAUACCGUGUAUGGCUCACCUCUUGAACUUGAACAGUUGAUGGGGUGCUAAGAGAAGUGAGUGCUUUUUCAGCACUCUGCGAUAAGGUGAAAGAUAUCGUUACUUUUUUUAAACAGUCGGUAAAUGCAAUGGAUCAAUUACGAUCUGAACAAGAAGCAACUGGAAAAAAAGAAGGGGAGGUGUUAACAUUAACACAAGCAGUCAGCACCAGAUGGAAUUCUUGUUAAGAUAUGCUGGAACGAUUCGUGAAGUUGUCAGCUUUUGUAGCUAAAAUUUGAGCUACAAAAAGUCAGUCGAAUAAAAAUACACCAGAUAUGGUUGCAAGUUCACAACUUCAUGUGAUCCGUGAUAUAAUUGCUCUUCUUGGUCCAUUCAAAGAACCCACGGACGAAAUAAGUGGUAGCAAUUAUGUCACAUCAAGUUUAGUUAUUCCACUUUCUAAUUUAUUACUUCAAGUAACAGACCAAGCAGCUCCAUCAACUCCAGUAGGGAUAAUUGUAAAAGAAUCUCUACUGAAAAAAAAAUCAAAGAAAGACUAGCUCCUUUAGAGAAAAAUGCCUUCCUCUCCAUAGCCACCAUUUUGGACCCCCGAUUCAAGAAAAUUCACUUCAAUUCUCCAAUAGCAGUCAGUGGCAAAUGCUAUAUCAAAAGUGGGAAGUGAAAUUCAUAUAGAGCAUUAGCGAAGAGGCCGCAGUGUUCUCCAAAAUCAUGUCAAGUCGUCGAAGAAGAACCUAAUGAGUCUUCUAUUUGGAGCAGACAUGAAUUACUAUUAACUCGUAAUUCUACUCCGCACGAGUUUUCAAAUUCUGGCUCCAUCCAUAGCGAAUUAAAACAGUAUUUGGACCAACCACUAUUGGAGAGGAAGGCCGAUCCAAAAAAAUUCUGGAAGAAUUGUGAGAAUUUCACUCCAGUUCUUUCAGAAAUAGCACUAAAAUAUUUGAUAUGUCAAGCUUCCUCAGUCGCUUCUGAAAGGGUUGCCUCAGCGGUAAAUAUAUCCGUUCCGGAUAGCAGAAGCCGAAUGACAGGGGAGCGCGUCAAACAAAGAGUGCUUCUGAUGUCAAUACCAGAAGAAUACUGGUUUCAGUAAAAUGUUGAUGAUUUUUUUGUGUUAUUCAUAAUAAAAAUAAUGUUGAA